rnacentral:lncRNA from 1 species
UGUAAUGCCACAGACCACAUCAUGGAAGAAUGUCCCUUUUUGAUGAAUUCAACUGGGAACGAAGUAGCACAGGUUAAUGCUACCUACUACAAACCUAUAAAUGACUCUUAUGCACCAACGUAUAACCCAGGAUGGAGGAAUCACCCUAACUUUUCUUGAUCACAAGGGUCAAAUCCCAGUAGACCUGUCCUUAAUCAAUCCAAUCAAAGGCCCACUCAACC